rnacentral:rRNA from 1 species
UGCAUGCAGUCGCACGCAGGGUGCUUGCACUCUGAGUGGCGCACGGCUGAGGAUCACGUGGGAACAUGCCUCCUUGUGGGGGACAACACCGCGAAAGCGGUGCUAAUCCCGCAUACGCUCGGCAACGAGGAAAGCCGUAAGGCGCAGGGAGAGUGGCCCGCGGCCCAUCAGGUUGUUGGUGGGGUAAUGGCCUACCAAGCCGGUGACGGGUAGCUGGUCUGUGAGGACAGACAGCCAGACUGGGACUGAGACACGGCCCAGACUCCUACGGGAGGCAGCAGCAAGGAAUUUUCGUCAAUGGGCGCAAGCCUGAACGAGCAACGCCGCGUGGAGGAUGACGGCCUUCGGGUUGUAAACUCCUUUUUCGGGGGAUGAUAAUGACAGUACCCCGGGAAUAAGGCUCGGCUAACUCUGUGCCAGCAGCCGCGGUAAUACAGAGGAGCCAAGCGUUGUCCGGAUUGACUGGGCGUAAAGCGCACGCAGGCGGUUGCGCGCGUGGGGUGUGAAAUCUGGCCGCUUAACGGCCAGGCGCCAUCCCAUACGGCGCGACUGGAGGGAUGCAGAGGUCGGUGGAAUUGCCGGUGUAGUGGUGAAAUGCGUAGAGAUCGGCAGGAACACCCAGGGGGAAACCAGCCGACUGGGCAUCUACUGACGCUGAGGUGCGAGAGCGUGGGGAGCGAACCGGAUUAGAUACCCGGGUAGUCCACGCCGUAAACGAUGGCCACUCGGCCUUUGGGGGGCAGAUUCUCUGUCCCUGGGGGCCUUAGCUAACGCGGAAAGUGGCCCGCCUGGGAACUACGACGCAAGCUUUAAACUCAAAGGAAUUUGACGGGGGCCCGCCAAGCAGCGGAGCGUGUGGUUUAAUUCGACGCACCCGCCAACCU